AUGAACGCUGGCGGCGUGCUUAACACAUGCAAGUCGAACGGAAAGGCCUCUGCUUGCAGGGGUACUCGAGUGGCGAACGGGUGAGUAACACGUGGGUGAUCUGCCCUGCACUUCGGGAUAAGCCUGGGAAACUGGGUCUAAUACCGGAUAGGACCACAUUUUGGAUGGUGUGGUGGAAAGUUUUUCGGUGUGGGAUGAGCUCGCGGCCUAUCAGCUUGUUGGUGGGGUAAUGGCCUACCAAGGCGUCGACGGGUAGCCGGCCUGAGAGGGUGUACGGCCACAUUGGGACUGAGAUACGGCCCAGACUCUUACGGGAGGCAGCAGUGGGGAAUAUUGCACAAUGGGCGCAAGCCUGAUGCAGCGACGCCGCGUGGGGGAUGACGGCCUUCGGGUUGUAAACUCCUUUCGCUAGGGACGAAGCGUUAUGUGACGGUACCUGGAGAAGAAGCACCGGCUAACUACGU
rnacentral:rRNA from 1 species